GUAACUGACGUAAAAGUCCACACUAGUGUUGUCAAAAGACCCGGUACUUCGGUACCAAGUCGGUACUAAAAAAAAUUAAAUGUUACGGUACCAGGUUUUCUUAAGUACCGGUGGUACCGAGCACCCGGUCAACCCGGUUCUUGCUGCGCUAUGCGAAAAGUGCGCAGUUGCGUCUUCUUCAUAAAAGCACAAAGACACAGCGACCGGUGGUGCUGCCGAUGCGGCUGCUCUGAAUCCGCUUGUUGAAAAGAAAGGAGGAAGGAGCCUCGUGUGGAAAUAUUUUGUAUUUGCGACUGAUGACAAGGGCAACAUCAUAGAUCAUCAGAACCCCAUCUGCAAACGGUGUUAUCGAAGUUCUCUCUCAAAAGGAGGAAAUACAUCGAACUUAAUAAAACACCUCAAAGACCGACACCAAGAUUUAAUGAAAGUUCAAGCAGCUGCAGGCUGAAGAAGACCACAAACCAAACUCCUAAGCAGACAAUGGUUUCAGAUGCUUUUGAGCAGCAGAAGUACGACAAAAAGGCAAGAAAACUGAACCGAGCUGUUGCUGAAUUCACAUGUAUGGAUUAAGUGCCAGUUUAUACAGUGAAAAAUGGGGAUUCCAGCAAAUGCUUCAUCACCUCAGCUCAAAAUACCAGCUUCCAAGUCAAAACUUUGUUUUAUUUUUGUUUGUUAUAAAUAAAAAUAGUGUGUUGUUCAA